UACGAAGGGGGCUAGCGUUGCUCGGAAUCACUGGGCGUAAAGGGUGCGUAGGCGGGCUGUCAAGUCUGGGGUGAAAUCCCGCGGCUCAACCGUGGAACUGCCUUAGAUACUGAUGGCCUCGAGGAAGGUAGGGGCAUGCGGAACUGUAGGUGGAGCGGUGAAAUGCGUUGAUAUCUACAGGAACUCCGGUGGCGAAAGCGGCGUGCUGGACCUUUUCUGACGCUGAGGCACGAAAGCUAGGGGAGCAAACGGGAGUUAGAAACCCU
rnacentral:rRNA from 1 species